AUUGAACGCUGGCGGCAGGCCUAACACAUGCAAGUCGAGCGGAUGAGAAGAGCUUGCUCUUCGAGUUAGCGGCGGACGGGUGAGUAAUGCCUAGGAAUCUGCCUGGUAGUGGGGGACAACGUUUCGAAAGGAACGCUAAUACCGCAUACGUCCUACGGGAGAAAGCAGGGGACCUUCGGGCCUUGCGCUAUCAGAUGAGCCUAGGUCGGAUUAGCUAGUUGGUGAGGUAAUGGCUCACCAAGGCGACGAUCCGUAACUGGUCUGAGAGGAUGAUCAGUGCAACUGGAACUGAGACACGGUCCAGACUCCUACGGGAGGCAGCAGUGGGGAAUAUUGGACAAUGGGCGAAAGCCUGAUCCAGCCAUGCCGCGUGUGUGAAGAAGGUCUUCGGAUUGUAAAGCACUUUAAGUUGGGAGGAAGGGCAGUAAGCGAAUACCUUGCUGUUUUGACGUUACCGACAGAAUAAGCACCGGCUAACUCUGUGCCAGCCGCCGCGGUAACAC
rnacentral:rRNA from 1 species